CGGUGCGAUCAUACCAGCACUAAUGCACCGGAUCCCAUCAGAACUCUACAGUUAAG
rfam:Arabis alpina cultivar Pajares scaff_60895_1_contig_0, whole genome shotgun sequence.